rnacentral:rRNA from 1 species
UACGUAGGGGGCAAGCGUUGUCCGGAAUCAUUGGGCGUAAAGAGCGUGUAGGUGGCCCGGUCAGUCCGCCGUGAAAGUCCAGGGCUCAACCCUGGAAUGCCGGUGGAUACUGCCGGGCUGGAGUCCGGAAGAGGCGGAGUGGAAUUCCUGGUGUAGCGGUGAAAUGCGCAGAUAUCAGGAGGAACACCAAUGGCGAAGGCAGCUCGCUGGGACGGUACUGACACUGAGACGCGAAAGCGUGGGGAGCAAACAGG